rnacentral:lncRNA from 1 species
UCAGAAUGAUAAAGAGGAUAUUCUAGAGGCUUUGUGUUUCAGUGAAGGGCAUCUUCCUUUCAAAUAUUUAGGCAUUCCACUUCACUCAAAGAAACUGAAUAUUCAUCACUACCUACCUCUGGUUGAAAAAAUAACCGACAGGAUUACAUGCUGGUCUGCCAAAUUCCUAUCUUAUGCAGGCAGGAGCCAACUUAUUAAAUCAGUGUUGUUUGGGAUUCAAACCUAUUGGUCACAGAUAUUCAUAUUGCCUAAGAAGGUAGUGAAAGCAAUUGAAGCUGUAUGUAGAUCUUUUCUUUGGACUGGCAAUGUAACAGUGUCCAGAAGAUCACUGGUAGCCUGGGACAAAAUCUGCAGACCUAUCACUGCUGGAGGACUUGGAGCAUCUGGGCUUUCUGCUAAUAGGUCCAAGAGUGUUGUAUACUUUGCUGGAAUUUCUCAGAAUGAUAAGAAGGAUAUUCUAGAGGCUUUGAGUUUCAGUGAAGGGCAUCUUCCUUUCAAAUAUUUAGGCAUUCCACUUCUCAAAGAAACUCAAUAUUCAUCACUACCUACCUCUGGUUGAAAAAAUAACCGACAGGAUUACAUGCUGGUCUGCCAAAUUCCUAUCUUAUGCAGGCAGGAGCCAACUUAUUAAAUCAGUGUUGUUUGGGAUACAAACCUAUUGGUCACAGAUAUUCAUAUUGCCUAAGAAGGUAGUGAAAGCAAUUGAAGCUGUAUGUAGAUCUUUUUUUUGGACUUGCAAUGUAACAGUGUCCAGGAGAUCACUGGUAGCCUGGGACAAAAUCUGCAGACCUGUCACUGCUGGAGGACUCAAUUUUAUUGACAUACAUAUUUUGAACAAGGCUGCUAUUACUAAACUGUUGUGGGACUUAGCAAGGAAAAAGGACUGCCUAUGGAUUAAGUGGAUCCAUUAUUAUUACAUAAAGAGUGGUGAUAUUGAGAUAGUGGCUAAUCCCAAAACUGCUUCUUGGGUGGUCAGGAAAAUAAUAGACUGCAAGAUCCCAAUUUUGACUGAUA